GGAAGAUCCAGCCUCGACAACGGUGGAAUUCGGUAGAAGGUCACGGAGGUCAGUGAAGCUUCGCCGGUAGUUAAAACCAGAGGAAUGUUCUAGAAACUGCAGAGGAGACGAAGGAAUCGAAUCCGUCUUGUGAACUUCCUCUUCCUUAACACCCUCCGUAAUAGCUUUGUUGUUGUUGUUAUCUUCUUCACCGUUUACCUUAGCUUUGAUUUUACUAAUCUGCAACCAAAAACUUUAAAAAUCAAACCUUUUUGCAUUUUCGUCUCUGAAGUUUCAAUUUUUAUGGUUUAAAGUCUCUAAUAUUGUACCUCUUGGAGAAGGGAAUCAUUGUCACGGCGGAGAGAAUCGAAAUUGUGGCGGAGAGAAUCGUAUUGACCCUUAAGAACACCGUAAUCUUUUUCAAGCUGUUUUGUUUUCCACCGUGCACGACGGUUCUGAAACCAAACAGCUACUUGACGAGGUUGAAGUCCAAGCUCUUGUGCUAAUUUAGUUUUCCUCUCAGGUUCGAGUUUAUUCUCAAGUUCGAAAUUCUUCUCAAGAGCUUUGACUUGGUCAACUUUUAAUCUUCUCUUCUUCUCCGAUAGACCCAUGUGGUGGUGGUUGCCGGAAUAUUCCUCGAUUAGUGUAGCAUCUUCAUCGUAACCUUCAAGCAUAGAUUGGUAAUUACUUCCGUACCCUCUUGGACUCUGUUCAUCUGUUGUGUAACCAAAUGAAUCUUGUCAAUAAAAGAAACAGUGGAAAGUGAAGAAAGGAUCACAUGGGUUUUGUCUGACAUUAGCAAAAAGUAGAAAGAACAAAGAUGGUAAUAAGAACCUGUAGAAGUGGAGAUUAGACCACACAUUGAAUCUGAGCUGCUUAGUCUCUUCAUGAUGACACUUUAAAAUAGUUCUACUCCAGCUUUUUCUUUAUUAUCAGAGAAAUUCUUAUGAAGUUUUGAAAUUACAACAAUGUUGUAAACAUAAUUGAGCUUCUUCACUUGAACAACAACAUGAACAAAACGAGGAGACUUUAGAGGCUCAAAUUAGAAAAAACAGAGAGAGGGAUAUGGAUUGAGAAAGUCCAAAAGAGAGAGAGAGAGAGAGAGAGAGAGAGAGAGAGAGAGAGAGAGAGAGAAGCUUUUAAUCUAGAGAGCAAUGGUUCUUUUCAAUAUGAACAAGUUGGUUUCACACUUUCUCUUUCUUUAAAUAAACCAAACUUAUCUUUCUUUAAAUAAACCAAACUUAGAGAAAGGGUUAAAAUGUAACUAAGGUUAAGUUUGAACCAAUAGUUAUACGGCUUGGCUCGGCUCGGCUUAGAACAAGUGGUGGAGUCUGUGAUACGUCACCGUAUGGGUUUAUUUUUGGUAAUGCUUAACCUUAUUUUUUUUAAGGGUGUUUCUAUUUUCUUAAACUUAAAAAUUCAGAGAAAUUAAUAAACAGCGGAUAGUAGAGAGAUACGUAAGAUGCAUUUAAAAAGUAGAUUUUUAAAAUAUAACAUCCUCUGAAAAACGUCAGAAGGUACGUCACAGAAGAUUUGAUGACAAAAUGAUAAACUAUAAUUUGUUUGUUGAUUAAUGAAACCAAAUGUAAUUUUCCUGAGCAAACUUAAAAUUCGAUAGGAUAAGUUAUAAAAUUAUACGGAUGGCAUAUUUAAUCCCAUAUAUUAGAUGUGGGAUAUAUUAUUAAAAACAUUAGUGUUAUAUGUUAUUGUUGGCAACGCAGGGGAGUGGAAAGAAAGACUUGUGGGUGGGGGAACAAGACUGACGCAAUUUGGGUUUGGUUCAUUGAAUUGUCCAAAAACUAUGGGCUCGAACGGCACCGUCAAAAAAUAUCAAUUCUUGUUUUGAA
rnacentral:lncRNA from 1 species